UACGGAGGGUGCAAGCGUUGUUCGGAAUUACUGGGCGUAAAGCGCUCGUAGGCGGAUUUGUAAGUCAAUUGUGAAAGCCCUGGGCUCAACCCGGGAAUUGCAGUUGAAACUGCGAAUCUUGAAUGCCUGAGAGGGUGACGAAAUUCCUGGUGUAGAAGUGAAAUUCGUAGAUAUCAGGAGGAACACCUGAGGCGAAAGCGGUUGCCUGGCAGUGCAUUGACGCUGAGGAGCGAAAGCGUGGGGAGCAAACAGG
rnacentral:rRNA from 1 species